rnacentral:rRNA from 1 species
UACAUAGCUUAAUGAGGGGAACUCAGGGAACUGAAACAUCUAAGUACCUGAAGGAAGAGAAAGAAAUUCGAUUCCGUAAGUAGCGGCGAGCGAACGCGGAUUAGCCCAAACCAAUAAAGUUUUCUUUAUUGGGGUUGCGGACAUAUCAUAACGAAGAGGUAUCGUAAUUGAAGAGGUUUGGAAAGACCCACCACAGAAGGUAAUAGUCCUGUAUGUUAAACGAGAAGACUUUAGAUAUGAUCCAGAGUACCACGGGACACGUGAAACCCUGUGGGAAGCAGGAGGGACCACCCUCCAAGGCUAAAUACUACCUAGUGACCGAUAGCGUAUAGUACCGUGAGGGAAAGGUGAAAAGAACCCCGGGAGGGGAGUGAAAUAGAACCUGAAACCCUGCACUUACAAGCUGUGGAAGCACAUUUCUUGUGUGACCGCGUACUUUUUGUAGAACGGGCCAACGAGUUACGUUAAGUAGCAAGGUUAAGCACUUAAGGUGCGGAGCCGUAGCGAAAGCGAGUUUUAACUGAGCGUUCAGUUACUUGACGUAGACCCGAAACCGGGCGACCUACCCAUGAGCAGGAUGAAGCGAAAGUAAAAUUUCGGGGAGGUCCGAACCCACGAGCGUUGAAAAGCUCGGGGAUGACUUGUGGGUAGCGGUGAAAUUCCAAUCGAGCCCGGAGAUAGCUGGUUCUCCCCGAAAUAGCUUUAGGGCUAGCCUCAAGGUGAGAGAUACGGAGGUAGAGCACUGAAUGUCCUAGGGGGUAUUGCACCUACCGAAGACUAUCAAACUCCGAAU